GACGAACCGUCCUAACGUUAUUCGGAAUUACUGAGCUUAAAGGGUGCGUAGGCGGCGCGGAAAGUUGGGUGUGAAAUUCCUCGGCUUAACCGAGGAACUGCGCCCAAAACUACCGUGCUUGAGGGAGAUAGAGGUGAGCGGAACUUAGGGUGGAGCGGUGAAAUGCGUUGAUAUCCUAAGGAACACCGGUGGCGAAAGCGGCUCACUGGAUCUCUUCUGACGCUGAGGCACGAAAGCUAGGGUAGCAAACGGG
rnacentral:rRNA from 1 species